AGGACGAACGCUGGCGGCGUGCUUAACACAUGCAAGUCGAGCGGAAAGGCCCUUCGGGGUACUCGAGCGGCGAACGGGUGAGUAACACGUGAGUAACCUGCCCCUAGCUCUGGGAUAGCUCCGGGAAACCGGGAUUAAUACCAGAUACGACCACUUUAGACAUCUGUCGUGGUGGAAAGGAUUCCGGCUAGGGAUGGGCUCGCGGCCUAUCAGCUUGUUGGUGGGGUAACGCCUACCAAGGCGACGACGGGUAGCC
rnacentral:rRNA from 1 species